CUGAAAGCAUCUAAGCAUGAAGCCCCCCUCAAGAUGAGAUUUCCCAACUUCGGUUAUAAGAUCCCUCAAAGAUGAUGAGGUUAAUAGGUUCGAGGUGGAAGCAUGGUGACAUGUGGAGCUGACGAAUACUAAUCGAUCGAAGACUUAAUCAAAA
rnacentral:rRNA from 1 species